GCCCUCGUAGCUCAGCUGGAUAGAGCGUCCCCCUCCUAAGGGGAAGGCCGUGCGUUCGAAUCGCGCCGGGGGCACCA
rnacentral:tRNA from 1 species